rnacentral:rRNA from 1 species
AUUGAACGCUGGCGGCAUGCCUUACACAUGCAAGUCGAACGGCAGCACGGGAGCAAUCCUGGUGGCGAGUGGCGAACGGGUGAGUAAUAUAUCGGAACGUGCCCAGUCGUGGGGAUAACGCAGCGAAAGCUGUGCUAAUACCGCAUACGAUCUACGGAUGAAAGCGGGGGAUCGCAAGACCUCGCGCGAUUGGAGCGGCCGAUAUCAGAUUAGCUAGUUGGUGGGGUAAAGGCCUACCAAGGCGACGAUCUGUAGCUGGUCUGAGAGGACGGACAGCCACACUGGAACUGAGACACGGUCCAGACUCCUACGGGAGGCAGCAGUGGGGAAUUUUGGACAAUGGGCGCAAGCCUGAUCCAGCAAUGCCGCGUGCAGGAUGAAGGCCUUCGGGUUGUAAACCGCUUUUGUACGGAGCGAAACGGUGAGCUCUAAUACAGUUUGCUAAUGACGGUACCGUAAGAAUAAGCACCGGCUAACUACGUGCCAGCAGCCGCCGUAACAC